rnacentral:rRNA from 1 species
ACGCUCGACACCUACGGGAGGCAGCAGUGGGGAAUAUUGCACAAUGGGGGAAACCCUGAUGCAGCGACGCCGCGUGAGCGAAGAAGUAUUUCGGUAUGUAAAGCUCUAUCAGCAGGGAAGAUCAUGACGGUACCUGACUAAGAAGCUCCGGCUAAAUACGCGCCAGCAGCCGCGGUAAUCUGAGCGGGCUGGCAAGGC